rnacentral:rRNA from 1 species
GUGUCAGCAGCCGCGGUAAUACGUAGGGUGCGAGCGUUAAUCGGAAUUACUGGGCGUAAAGCGUGCGCAGGCGGUCUGUUAAGACCGAUGUGAAAUCCCCGGGCUUAACCUGGGAACUGCAUUUGUGACUGCAUCGCUGGAGUGCGGCAGAGGGGGAUGGAAUUCCGCGUGUAGCAGUGAAAUGCGUAGAUAUUCGGCGGAACACCAGUGGCGAAGGCGACUCACUGGCCCGAUACUGACGCUGAGGCGCGAAAGCGUGGGGAGCAAACAGGAUUAGAUACCCUGGUAGUCCACGCCCUAAACGAUGUCAACUGGUUGUUGGGUCUUCACUGACUCAGUAACGAAGCUAACGCGUGAAGUUGACCGCAUGGGGAGUACGGCCGCAAGGUUGAAACUUAAAGGAAUUGACGG